CCGGUCCAGUAAAGUGUCGGCCGGGUCAGUCAGGGAUCGAGACUAACGGCAUCCUGGGGACGACAGAAAACGUGCUGGGGAGAAAGAUAUUCCCUGGAGCGCCUCCGGGACAAAAAGGAGUUUUUCUGAAUUAUCAGAGCUUGUUGUCCUUUCAGACACAGACGUUGGCUGCCAUUAAUCCUUGCGAGGGAUGUUGAGACAUCUGCGGUGGUCGAAGAAGUGCACGCUGUAGCUCUCCGUCUUAAAGAAGAGAGGCGGUGUAGUAGGUGGAGGUGAAGGUUCAUGUUGCAGUGAGCAAUAAGGAGUCUGCUGACAUGUGUUUCUAGACGUCAUUCUACACCUCAAAACCUUCACAGAGUGCAGUCAGAAGCCGGCCGUACAAACAGCUCCCAGGACAGUGACGUCAUGUCCGCGCUCGAUUGCAAACAGAGCGAUAGUUGUUCCGCGAGGACCCGCAGGACGCUUCCUCUUCCCGUUUGUUCCCCUCUCUAACAGCUCCGUGGGUCAGAUGGGACGGACUUGGAACAACUUGCGAAGAACUUCAUUUUUCCAAGUGUCGAUGUCUUUCUUGAUGAGGCUGAAUGUGGUUUACUAAAACUUUUAAUUCCUGCAGGCCGGCCGAGAGUCUUUUUUUUUUUUUAACCCUUGUUCCCUCAUAAUUACUCCCCUUUGACCACCUUUGUGGCAAAAAUGUCCAGGCACAAAAGAAAUGCCAUUAAAUCACCAUACAUCAAAAUUUAUUGCUGCUUUUUUUUCAUAACUCACUCAAACAACUUCAGACCUACUCAAAACUACCAAAGAUUCAAUAUUUUCCAGGAUUUUAACCCUUUAAAUGCCAGUUUUACAAAUUAAAUAACUUCAUUAUUUUUCUCCAAAAAAACCAAAUGAUUACCAACAAAAUUGAUUUGAUUGCAUCAGUAUUUUUUAUGUAGUGACAGAUAAUCCCUCUAACCACCUUUGUGGCCAAAAAUGCCUCAUUGACUUCCAUUAAAACCAUACUUUUUAAUCACCACUAAAG